rnacentral:rRNA from 1 species
AUGCAAGUCGAACGGGUGCAGCAAUGCACCGAGUGGCGACGAAGGGUGAGGAACACGUGAGUAAUCUACCCUCAAGAUUGGGAUAGCUCCUGGAAACGGGAAUUAAUACCGGAUGAAACAGUUUAUCCGCAUGGAUGAACUUUUAAAGCAGCAAUGCGCUUGAGGAGGAGCUCGCGUCCCAUUAGCUAGUUGGUGAGGUAACGGCCCACCAAGGCGAUGAUGGGUAGCUGGUCUGAGAGGACGAUCAGCCACAUUGGGACUGAGAAACUGCCCAGACUCCUACGGGAGGCUGCAGUCGAGAAUUUUGGGCAAUGAGCGAAAGCUUGACCCAGCCAAUGCCGCGUGCGGGAUGAAGGUCUUCGGAUUGUAAACCGCUGUUGAGAGGGACGAAAGAUGACGGUACCUCUAGAGGAAGCCACGGCUAACUACGUGCCAGCCGCUGC